rnacentral:rRNA from 1 species
GGAGCAGCCCAGAGCCUGAAUCAGUGUGUGUGUUAGUGGAAGCGUCUGGAAAGGCGUGCGAUACAGGGUGACAGCCCCGUACACAAAAAUGCACAUAUUGUGAGCUUGAUGAGUAGGGCGGGACACGUGGUAUCCUGUCUGAAUAUGGGGGGACCAUCCUCCAAGGCUAAAUACUCCUGACUGACCGAUAGUGAACCAGUACCGUGAGGGAAAGGCGAAAAGAACCCCGGCGAGGGGAGUGAAAAAGAACCUGAAACCGUGUACGUACAAGCAGUGGGAGCACGCUUAGGCGUGUGACUGCGUACCUUUUGUAUAAUGGGUCAGCGACUUAUAUUCUGUAGCAAGGUUAACCGAAUAGGGGAGCCGAAGGGAAACCGAGUCUUAACUGGGCGUUAAGUUGCAGGGUAUAGACCCGAAACCCGGUGAUCUAGCCAUGGGCAGGUUGAAGGUUGGGUAACACUAACUGGAGGACCGAACCGACUAAUGUUGAAAAAUUAGCGGAUGACUUGUGGCUGGGGGUGAAAGGCCAAUCAAACCGGGAGAUAGCUGGUUCUCCCCGAAAGCUAUUUAGGUAGCGCCUCGUGAAUUCAUCUCCGGGGGUAGAGCACUGUUUCGGCAAGGGGGUCAUCCCGACUUACCAACCCGAUGCAAACUGCGAAUACCGGAGAAUGUUAUCACGGGAGACACACGGCGGGUGCUAACGUCCGUCGUGAAGAGGGAAACAACCCAGACCGCCAGCUAAGGUCCCAAAGUCAUGGUUAAGUGGGAAACGAUGUGGGAAGGCCCAGACAGCCAGGAUGUUGGCUUAGAAGCAGCCAUCAUUUAAAGAAAGCGUAAUAGCUCACUGGUCGAGUCGGCCUGCGCGGAAGAUGUAACGGGGCUAAACCAU